rnacentral:pre_miRNA from 1 species
UAAUAUCUUGGAGGAAGUGACUUCAUACAAAUAUCUCAUAAUCAAUCUUCAUCACAAGCUUAACUAGAACUAUAACAUUGAGAAAAUGAUAAAUGGAUGGUGGAAAUAUUAU